rnacentral:tRNA from 1 species
GAGGGUAUAGCUCAGUGGUAGAGCAUGUGCUUAGCAAGCAUAAGGUCUUGGGUUCACUGCUCAGAACCUCCA